rnacentral:lncRNA from 1 species
GGUAUUUGUAGUCACAGAUCAAAAAGCCGCUGAAUGACCGGCCCAGAGCAACAAGAAGCACAAGGAUGAUUUGUCAAUAGAAAGAGAAGUAAGCAGUGAAGAAUGUGGGCUGAGCUGGAGAGAGUCCCAGGGAUCCGCGUGCCUCUACUUGUUGAGUGCUGGGAAACAAAUACUUGCUACCACACCCAGUUUUAAAACAACAACAACAGCAACAACCUACAGGUUCUGGGAAUUGGAUGCAGGAAAAGCCCAGGCAACACAGUCCACAGGAAGCUUCCGAGCGAGCCUAACAUGCUGGGGGUUCACUGUGCUGAAGUGGAGAAAUGGGGGCCUUUCAUUGCGUCUUCUUUGUGGUUACUUACUGCAAGCAGAUUUUCCAGCACGGAAAUUAGUCUCAAUAUUUAUUUAGAAUAUGACAGUUCAUUAUUGUGUUCCAAAAGCUGUUAAGUGCCUGUUUAUUCCUCCCUUCUAUAUGUGACACACACUUAUAGUCUCUUUGCAUGCCCGUGAAAAAUUCCCUUAUAUACACACUUAAAACAUCCUUGCAUGGACUAUAAUAAUCUCAAUAAAAGCUUUAUCUAU